rnacentral:rRNA from 2 species
AAUCCAUAGGUUAAUGAGGCGAACCGGGGGAACUGAAACAUCUAAGUACCCCGAGGAAAAGAAAUCAACCGAGAUUCCCCCAGUAGCGGCGAGCGAACGGGGAGGAGCCCAGAGCCUGAAUCAGCAUGUGUGUUAGUGGAAGCGUCUGGAAAGGCGCGCGAUACAGGGUGACAGCCCCGUACACAAAAGCGCAUGUGCUGUGAGCUCGAUGAGUAGGGCGGGACACGUGGUAUCCUGUCUGAAUAUGGGGGGACCAUCCUCCAAGGCUAAAUACUCCUGACUGACCGAUAGUGAACCAGUACCGUGAGGGAAAGGCGAAAAGAACCCCGGCGAGGGGAGUGAAAAAGAACCUGAAACCGUGUACGUACAAGCAGUGGGAGCACCCUUUGGGUGUGACUGCGUACCUUUUGUAUAAUGGGUCAGCGACUUAUAUUCUGUAGCAAGGUUAACCGAAUAGGGGAGCCGGAGGGAAACCGAGUCUUAACCGGGCGUUAAGUUGCAGGGUAUAGACCCGAAACCCGGUGAUCUAGCCAUGGGCAGGUUGAAGGUUGGGUAACACUAACUGGAGGACCGAACCGACUAAUGUUGAAAAAUUAGCGGAUGACCUGUGGCUGGGGGUGAAAGGCCAAUCAAACCGGGAGAUAGCUGGUUCUCCCCGAAAGCUAUUUAGGUAGCGCCUCGUGAAUUCAUCUCCGGGGGUAGAGCACUGUUUCGGCUAGGGGGCCAUCCCGGCUUACCAACCCGAUGCAAACUGCGAAUACCGGAGAAUGUUAUCACGGGAGACACACGGCGGGUGCUAACGUCCGUCGUGAAGAGGGAAACAACCCAGACCGCCAGCUAAGGUCCCAAAGUCAUGGUUAAGUGGGAAACGAUGUGGGAAGGCCCAGACAGCCAGGAUGUUGGCUUAGAAGCAGCCAUCAUUUAAAGAAAGCGUAAUAGCUCACUGGUCGAGUCGGCCUGCGCGGAAGAUGUAACGGGGCUAAACCAUGCACCGAAGCUGCGGCAGCGACAC